AUAGAGGCAGAACGUUAGUCUGCUUUCAUCAGCUCGUGGUGAUACAAACGUUGCAUUUUAUCUCUCAACUUUAUAUACAUAUAUAGUAUUUACGGGUUAUUAUCUGUGUCACCUACGUAUGUGCAUUUUUCUUGUUGUUUAUUUUUAUUUAUUUUUUUAUAUAAUUCCAAAUACCUUCGAAAUUUAACAAAACAAAAGAGUUGUUUACCACCAAAGACAAGUUUUAUCUGACUAUUUUAUUUCUAUCUUGAUUUUUUGAUAUCUUGUGGUAUCGUUUCAAAGUGUGAGAACAAUAAUAGAGAAAAGCUGAUUAAUUUUAUUAACAAUCGUUAAAACUUAUUUUCAAAGGAUACAUACCAUAUAUACUUGAAAAGCUUCAUUUUCAACUUACAAAGAAAAUGAUAGUUGAAAGAGAAAGAUAAGAAAAAACAAAACAAAAAUCACGUUAUUUUUAAAAGCAACA